rnacentral:rRNA from 1 species
AGCAGCCGCGGUAAUUCCAGCUCCAAUAGCGUAUAUUAAAGUUGUUGCAGUUAAAAAGCUCGUAGUUGAAUUUCGGGAUUGACGUAACGGUCGUGCCUUAAGGGGUAUGAACUAUUACUGUCAAUUUCUCACCUUCUGGAAAAAUUUGAUGUCCUUAAUUGGGUGUCUUAUGGAUCCAGGACCUUUACCUUGAAAAAAUUAGAGUGUUUAAAGCAAGCUUAUUGCUCGAAUACAUUAGCAUGGAAUAAUAAAAUAGGACGGCUUGGUUCUAUUUUGUU